rnacentral:rRNA from 1 species
AACGCGAAGAACCUUACCUGGGCUUGAACUGCACCGGACAAAGGUAGAAAUACCUCUCCCGCAAGGGCUGGUGUAGAGGUGCUGCAUGGCUGUCGUCAGCUCGUGCCGUGAGGUGUUGGGUUAAGUCCCGCAACGAGCGCAACCCUUACCCUUAGUUGCCACCCGCAAGGGGGAACUCUAAGGGGACUGCUCCGGAUAACGGAGAGGAAGGUGGGGAUGAGGUCAAGUCAGCAUGGCCUUUAUGUCCAGGGCUACACACGUGUUACAAUGCAUGGUACAGACCGUUGCAAACCCGCGAGGGGGAGCUAACCGGAAAAAACCAUGCUCAGUUCGGAUUGCAGUCUGCAACUCGACUGCAUGAAGCCGGAAUCGCUAGUAAUGGCGUAUCAGAACGACGCCGUGAAUACGUUCCCGGGCCUUGUA